GAGGGUAUAGCUCAGUGGUAAAGUGUGCGCUUAGCAUGCACAAGGUCCUGGCUUCAAUACCCAGUUCCUCCA
rfam:Camelus ferus unplaced genomic scaffold scaffold826, whole genome shotgun sequence.